rnacentral:lncRNA from 1 species
UGGCUGUUGAGGCAGAAAGAGCAGUUGCAACAGUGCCAGGCAGAGGAGGAGGCAGGGCUACUGCGGAGGCAACGCCAGUACUUUGAGCUUCAGUGUCGCCAAUACAAGCGCAAGAUGCUACUGGCUCGGCACAGCCUAGACCAGGACCUGCUUCGAGAGGUAGACCUGACCCAGCUGCCUUCCCUCACACAGUCAAGGACCUAGCACCUCUCUUCUCUCACUUGCCUCCGUGAGGUCUUCUUUUUCAUCUGCUCUCCUAGUGUUUUGAUUUGGCUCCUUUUCAGCAUCCUUCUUGCUUUCUGUGCCCACUGGACCCUGAUAGGAUGCCCUUACUUGUCUCAUUCACUUCCUCUCUGCUAAAGAAUUUUGUGCCCUUAAUUAUUCAAUUCCAAGAAGGCUCCCUCACUGAGCCCUGAGUUCUGUCACUUUUCUGCCUUAGGACUUGAAUAAGAAACAGACACAGAAGGACUUGGAGUGUGCUCUGCUGUUACGGCAGCAUGAGGCUACCCGAGAGCUGGAGCUACGACAGCUCCAGGCUGUCCAGCGCACACGUGCUGAACUCACCCGCCUUCAGCACCAGACAGAGCUAGGCAACCAGUUGGAGUACAACAAGCGACGGGAGCAAGAGUUGCGGCAGAAGCACGCGGCCCAGGUUCGCCAGCAGCCCAAG